CUAACGGCUGAACCAGCAACUUGGAGGAAUGUAUAGCUACGGCUAAUUGUGUAUAACUACACGAUAUCGACUCUGUCGAAUAAAAUUCUGGGUAAAUUAUGAUGAUGACAUUUUUUACCUAUGUGUCUUGACCAAAUUGUGUGCCAGCAGUCGCGGUAAUACAUAGAAGACUAGUGUUAUUCAUCUUUAAUAGGUUUAAAGGGUACCUAGACGGUAGAUCAAGCCCUAGACGGGACUAAUUUGCUAGAGUUACUUAUGAGGGGGCUUUAAAGUACUAAUGGUGUAGAGAUAAAAUUUUGUAAUACCAUUUUUCGUAAAGAAAAAUUAUGGCACUGGUAAAGGCGAGAGCAUCCCCCUAUAGAA
rnacentral:rRNA from 1 species